rnacentral:rRNA from 1 species
UCGAACGGGAAUGACACGCUGAUGCGAUUUCGGUCAAAUCUUGUGGCAUUUCAGUGGCGGACGGGUGAGUAACGCGUGGGUAACCUGCCUUACACAGGGGGAUAACACCUGGAAACAGGUGCUAAUACCGCAUAAGCGCACAGGGCCGCAUGGCCCGGUGUGAAAAACUCCGGUGGUGUAAGAUGGACCCGCGUCUGAUUAGCUUGUUGGCGGGGUAGAGGCCCACCAAGGCGACGAUCAGUAGCCGGCCUGAGAGGGUGGACGGCCACAUUGGGACUGAGACACGGCCCAAACUCCUACGGGAGGCAGCAGUGGGGGAUAUUGGACAAUGGGGGAAACCCUGAUCCAGCGACGCCGCGUGAGUGAAGAAGUAUUUCGGUAUGUAAAGCUCUGUCAGCAGGGAAGAAAGAAAUGACGGUACCUGACCAAGAAGCCCCGGCUAACUACGUGCCAGCAGCCGCGGUAAUACGUAGGGGGCAAGCGUUAUCCGGAAUUACUGGGUGUAAAGGGAGCGUAGACGGUGAUGCAAGUCUGGAGUGAAAGGCGGGGGCCCAACCCCCGGACUGCUCUGGAAACUGUAUGACUUGAGUGCAGGAGAGGUAAGCGGAAUUCCUAGUGUAGCGGUGAAAUGCGUAGAUAUUAGGAGGAACACCAGUGGCGAAGGCGGCUUACUGGACUGUAACUGACGUUGAGGCUCGAAAGCGUGGGGAGCAAACAGGAUUAGAUACCCUGGUAGUCCACGCCGUAAACGAUGAUUACUAGGUGUCGG